GAGAAUAAAUGAUGUCUUCCCAGAGAGGCCUACUUUAACCAGGCUAAUUCAAGACUCCUUACUCUUUACCCCACUAACAUGUGCAUUUCCUUUAUAGCAUUUAUCAAAACCACACCUUGUAAUUAUAAAUAUAUUUGUUCAUUUGUGACUCUAAUAGAGAGUAAGAUCAUCAGGGCAGCACAGGAAGACACCUACCUUGUACACUGGCAUACAGCAGCACUUGGCACGAGGUACAGCAGAAGCCAGGCAGACAGCACACUUUGCGGGUUAAGUCUAGGUGACUACGAAGACCCCGUGGGGCCCUGAGACAGUAUGGUUCUCUGAUUUACUGAGCGUGAACAAUGUGCCAGUAACAAGUAGGUUCCAUGCAAAGAUUCAAGAAGAGGUAAGAUAACAUCCUAGGUGUAGUGUAAUAAGAGAGAAUGGGCUUUGAAAUCAGCUGGCCUCAUCUGGAUCCACACGUAUAAACCAUGUGUUCUUGGGCAACUUCUCUGAGGGCUUCUUAGAGUCUCAGCUUCUUUGUUGGUAAUAAUGGACAUAAUGUUAACUAGCUCAGAGUGACCAGAAGGAUUGAAUUAGAUGUAUAGUAAAACCUCGUCCAGCAUUUGGUGCAUAUUGGCAGCUCAAAAAAAAGUUAUUUUCAAUCAUCUUUCUAGGAACUAUGACAGGUAAGGCUCAUUGUCAAGUCAUGUGAAAAUGCCCAAGAAAAGGAUGAAAGGAUUCAUCAGUGAGACGAUCUGUAUGACAUGCCAGCCACGUGCCAGGCACUGUUUUAAGCUCUGGGGAUAGUGUGGUAAAAAAGACAGACCCCAUUUCUCUUGGAGCUUCCAUUCUGGACAGGGAGAGUCUGACACCAAACAAACUAAAACAAAUAAGAAAAAAUAAUUAGUGAGGCAUAAGUGCUACACAAAGGACUAAACCUGAAAGAUAUGAUGGAGAGGAACAGAAUGUUUUAUAUAGACUGGAUAAUCUGGGAAAACCUUUCUCAUGUGAUACUUAAGCUGAGAUCUGAAUAAUAAAGAGGAGCCAGCUGAGUGAUGACCUGGGGAA
rnacentral:lncRNA from 1 species